ensembl:snoRNA U8 U8 small nucleolar RNA
UCGUCAGUGCGGUACAUCCUGACCUGCCCCCGCAGUGCGGGCAGUGCGUGAUGAUUGGAGCGUCAUGAUCACGUGAUUACACAACCACGUGACGCGGGCCGGCAACACCCGCGGGCACCUCUCUGAU